rnacentral:rRNA from 1 species
CCAGAGCCUGAAUCAGUGUGUGUGUUAGUGGAAGCGUCUGGAAAGGCGUGCGAUACAGGGUGACAGCCCCGUACACAAAAAUGCACAUAUUGUGAGCUUGAUGAGUAGGGCGGGACACGUGGUAUCCUGUCUGAAUAUGGGGGGACCAUCCUCCAAGGCUAAAUACUCCUGACUGACCGAUAGUGAACCAGUACCGUGAGGGAAAGGCGAAAAGAACCCCGGCGAGGGGAGUGAAAAAGAACCUGAAACCGUGUACGUACAAGCAGUGGGAGCACGCUUAGGCGUGUGACUGCGUACCUUUUGUAUAAUGGGUCAGCGACUUAUAUUCUGUAGCAAGGUUAACCGAAUAGGGGAGCCGAAGGGAAACCGAGUCUUAACUGGGCGUUAAGUUGCAGGGUAUAGACCCGAAACCCGGUGAUCUAGCCAUGGGCAGGUUGAAGGUUGGGUAACACUAACUGGAGGACCGAACCGACUAAUGUUGAAAAAUUAGCGGAUGACUUGUGGCUGGGGGUGAAAGGCCAAUCAAACCGGGAGAUAGCUGGUUCUCCCCGAAAGCUAUUUAGGUAGCGCCUCGUGAAUUCAUCUCCGGGGGUAGAGCACUGUUUCGGCAAGG